CUUGGUCAUUUAGAGGAAGUAAAAGUCGUAACAAGGUUUCCGUAGGUGAACCUGCGGAAGGAUCAUUAUUGAAUCCUUAGGAUGUUGCUGGCCUUUAGGGGCAUGUGCACUCCACCUUUCAAUCCACCUGUGAACUUAUUGUAGGCCAGAUGUUAAAGUCUGUGUCUAUGUUUUUAUACACCCUAUAAAAAAGUCUUUGAAUGUUUAAUGACAGACCUUUACCGGUCAAUAAUUAAUACAACUUUCAACAAUGGAUCUCUUGGUUCUCGCAUCGAUGAAGAACGCAGCGAAUUGCGAUGUGUAAUGUGAAUUGCAGAAUUCAGUGAAUCAUCGAAUCUUUGAACGCACCUUGCACCCUUUGGUAUUCCGAAGGGUAUGCCUGUUUGAGUGUCAUUAAAUUCUCAACUUCUAAGAUUUUAUUAUCUUUGAAGCUUGGACUAUGGAGGUUAUUGCAGGCGAUUAACAUUGUCAGCUCCUCUUAAAUGCAUUAGCGGAACUCUCAAGUACCAGCUUUGGUUUGAUAAGUAUAUCUAUGCCGUCGCUGUGAACUUUUAUGUUCAGCUUCUAAUGGUCUUCGGACUGUCUCCUAUGAGGCAUACACUUUAAGCUUGACCUCAAAUCAGGUAGGACUACCCGCUGAACUUAAGCAUAUCAAUAAGCGGAGGA
rnacentral:rRNA from 1 species